rnacentral:lncRNA from 1 species
UUUUUUUUUUUUUUUUUUUUUUUGCCUUUUCUAGGGCCGCUCCCGUGGCAUAUGGAGGUUCCCAGGCUAGGAGUCCAAUCAGAGCUGUAGCCACCUGCCUACGCCAGAGCCAUAGCAACACGGGAUCCGAGCUGCAUCUGCAACCUACACCACAGCUCACAACAACACUGGAUCCUCAACCCACUGAGCAAGGCCAGGGAUCGAACCCUAAACCUCAUGGCUCCUAGUCGGAUUCAUUAACCACUGAGCCAUGACGGGAAUUCCCAAUAUAAAUUUAUUUUUAAAUGUAAUAAAAUAAAGUAAUCCCGAUUAAAACAUAUUUCUGGGUCACAUAUUAUUAAAAAAAGAAAAUGUUUCAAUACGAUUCCAAAAUGGAAAGUUAUCUCUGAGUAAUGACUUAUAUUCUAAAUAAUUAGUAAUUUUCUAAAAAUAAUUAGUAAUUUUCAAAAUUUCUAAAAUGUUAUCUGUAUUUUUCUGUAAUAAGUUUUUCUUGAUGUUACAAAACUGACAAAUAUUUCUACCUUUACAUCCUAAUGGACUUAAACUGAGGAUUUAUUAUUUAAUAAGCUUUGAUUCCUCCUUAUAUUCUUAAUACAAAUUACACAAAAUAAGUGCCUUCCUCCAAAGAGGUUUCAGCCUAAUAAGAGACAUGACACAGCAUUAAGCUCAGUAACUGCUCAACAAACAGGGUACAGAAAAGUAUACUAGUCCUUAAGUUUUACCGCCAAAAUUAACUAAAAGUUUGGGAAUGUGUAUUCUGUCCAAUUUCCUACCCCACUUAUGGCUUCAAUGUGAAAAUGCUGCGAUACAAGAUCCCAAAACAGCCAUUAAGGUAUUACUAACUAGGGCAGAAAUUUACAUUGAGAGUCUCAUUAUAGAGAUUUACAUUGUAGAAAAAAUUAACACAGAAGAUACAGCUGUCCCCAAAAUACCCAUUCUUCAACAACCUUCCUAAAACAUGUGUUUGAGAGAUGCACACUUUAACCUUUUAAGAAUAUUUCUAGAAUUUUUUUCACAUUUCCUUAACAGAAAAGUACAAAACUUUCAUUCUUCAUAAUGAUGACUAUUUGAAAUGUCUCAUUUUAGGUUAAUCACUUAUUGAAGUGUAGUUGCUAUAUAUUACGUAAGUUACAGGUGUGCAAAAUAGUGAUUCACAAUCUUUAAAGGUUAUAUACUCCAUUUAUAGCUAUUAUAAAAUAUGGGCUAUACUCCCUGUGUGGUACAACAUAUCCUUGUAGCUUAUGUUAUACCUAAUAGUCUGUACCUCUUAAUCAUGCUGCCCUUCUCCUAGGUUAGUUACAUUUUAAAACUUUAAGGGUUUUUGGAGUUUGCAUCGUGGCGCAGUGGUUAACGAAUCCAACUAGGAACCAUGAGGUCGCGGGCCCGAUCCCUGCCCUUGCUCAGUGGGUUGAGGAUCCGGCGUUGCCAUGAGCUAUGGUGUGGGUUGAAGACGUGGCUCGGAUCCCGUGUUGCUGUGGCUCUGGUGUAGGCUGGUAGCAACAGCUCCGAUUAGACUCCUAGCUUAGGAACCUCCGUAUGCCGCCAGUGCGGCCCUAUAAAGACCAAAAAAAAGAAAAAACUUUAAGGGUUUUGGUUCUUCUUUAUUUUUUAGGAUCACACCUGCAACAAAUGGAAGUACCUCCGCUAGGAGUCGAAUCAGAGCUGCAAAUGCCGGCCUAUGUCACAGCCUCAGCGGAUCCAAGCCGCAUCUACAACCUACGCCACAGCUUGGGGCAAUGCCGGAUCCUCAACCCACAUCCUCACAAAGACAAUACCAGGUCCUUAACCUGCUGAGCCACAAUGGCAACUCUUAAGGUGUUUUAACACAGUUUAUCACUCAAGAGAAAUUCCUAUCAGUUCUUAGAUUCAUCUUAAUCAUUACACAUACUGUUCAAGAAAUUUAAAAGCUCAUCAUGUAACAAAAAUGACACUAAGGACUUUGAAGACAGUGUUAUUUAAUAGGGGAAUGUACACCAAACAGGAGACAGGAGAUCACUGUUGAGUAAAGUCACUUAACCUGAGCUUCUUUUUCUGUGGCAUGAAAUUGGACCCUAGGGGCAGGGGCAGUACACAUAUACAGUCCAGGCGAUUCACAGAACUCAAGUGGAGCCAAUUCACAGACUUCUUAAAGGUCUACAUAUCCCAGGUUAAGGUAAUUUGUACUUGGUUCUCAGCCAGCUCUAAAACUUGAGUGUUUCUAUUUCAGGUAUUUUUAGCAAUAAAGCCAGAAGGUAACUGAACAAAGGGGAGAAAAAGAAAAAAGUUCUAACAAUAAAAGCGUGAUCAACAGCACUAAGAGAAGUCCAUCAAACUCAAGAUUCUUUAAACAUGCCAUUUCUCUCAACUACAAAAUUGUCAAACACUAAAAAACUGAUAAUGUUCACGACUGCAAUGUUUUUUCACAAGAUUGUAUUUUGUUCCUUUAUAAACAAGAGUCCCGACACAGAUCCUCUUCCAAGAAAAACUACAAAGGCAUUGCAGAGACUUUCAGUGAGUCUUCUUCCCUGGGCUUUAGGUUUAGGACUUUCUUUUGCCUCUCUCUGCCCUUCCUUCUGUGGCCCUUGUAUUCAUCCUUCAGUGUAUUUUCCCUCAUUUUGAUGGACAUAUCCUUCAGUAGCUUUCCAAAAAGGGGUAAAUAGAAAUAAUUUUUUAAGAUCUGGCAUGCCCCCAUAAUGCCUUUAUACUGCUUUCAUACUUGAUUGCACAAAUGGUUGGGUUCUAGGCAAGAAGUCAUCUUCCCUCAGAAUUCCAAAGGCAUUGCUCAACUAUCUUCCCAGUUCUGAUACCGCUGUUGACAUUUUUUUUUUUUUUUUUUUUUUUUUUUUUUUUUUUUUUUUUUGUGGCUGCCCCGAGGCAUAUUGAGUUCCCAGGCCAGGGAUCAGAUCUGAGCCAAGUUGACCUAGCC